CCCCCGUGUCGUCACCGUUACCCUUUUGGAAACAAAACAAAGAUCUGAGUUGCAACUUUUUUCACCCCAAAAAAAGGCUAAACCACGAUUUGCGAGGUUCCAGGCUGGCACUGCACUAAGGUGCACUUAUGGAGUCUGUUUAGCUGAUUGGAGAGCCAGCUUCCGCAGCUAGUGGGUCCAUGACGAUGACUUCUGUUUUGUUUGAUCAGCUGUUUUACUGCCUUGCGAGAGGCACCGUUUGGAAACAAUUAAGAACUUGUUGUCAGUCCCUAAUCAGACGGCGCCUUGCUCUGCCUUUUGCUGCAGCAUCACCAAGUUCAUCCGUUACAUAAUGCAACAAUGCUUGCAGCUAGACCGGCUGCAGCCAGCACGGGGGAAACAUUUCAAAAGGCAGACAUAUUUCACAGCAAAUAGAAUGUAAAAAAAAAUAUUCCUCAAUUUACCCCCCGACGCGUGCAAAGAGACUGCAAAAACCCACACUCGGCAUACAAUCAAAAGAGCUACAAACACAGAGCUCCUGUGUACUACUUAUAUUAACAACACAUGCAGUUUACUACCACUAUUAUACACACCUU